UAGGGAAUCUUCCACAAUGGGCGAAAGCCUGAUGGAGCAACGCCGCGUGUGUGAUGAAGGCUUUCGGGUCGUAAAGCACUGUUGUAUGGGAAGAACAGCUAGAAUAGGAAAUGAUUUUAGUUUGACGGUACCAUACCAGAAAGGGACGGCUAAAUACGUGCCAC
rnacentral:rRNA from 1 species